rnacentral:rRNA from 1 species
GACGAACGCUGGCGGCGUGCCUAACACAUGCAAGUCGAACGAAGAGCGAUGGAAGCUUGCUUCUAUCAAUCUUAGUGGCGAACGGGUGAGUAACGCGUAAUCAACCUGCCCUUCAGAGGGGGACAACAGUUGGAAACGACUGCUAAUACCGCAUACGAUCUAAUCUCGGCAUCGAGGAUAGAUGAAAGGUGGCCUCUACAUGUAAGCUAUCACUGAAGGAGGGGAUUGCGUCUGAUUAGCUAGUUGGAGGGGUAACGGCCCACCAAGGCGAUGAUCAGUAGCCGGUCUGAGAGGAUGAACGGCCACAUUGGGACUGAGACACGGCCCAGACUCCUACGGGAGGCAGCAGUGGGGAUUCUUCCGCAAUGGACGAAAGUCUGACGGAGCAACGCCGCGUGAGUGAUGACGGCCUUCGGGUUGUAAAGCUCUGUUAAUCGGGACGAAAGGCCUUCUUGCGAAUAGUGAGAAGGAUUGACGGUACCGGAAUAGAAAGCCACGGCUAACUACGUG